CUUGAAGGCCUACACACAGGUGUGCUCAGCUCUGCAGGAUGGACCAGGCCUGGCUCUGGCCUACACAGCUGUGUCUAAGUCCUUCCAGAGUCAGGGGAAAACAGAUGAGUCGAUCCAGUGUCUGCAGACGUUAAAGGACAUCUGCUUCAGGAACAGCAUGCCGCUCAUCCUGUUGGACGUCUGCAUGUGUCUGGGUGAUAUCUACUACAGCAGGAAUCAGUUGGAACAGGCUGUGGAACACUACCUACAGAGUUAUCAGAUAGUCACUGAACUGAGACACACUGAACUCAUGCACAAAACACAGGUGUUAGUGGGAAUCGCUCGUGCUCGCCUCCUGAUCCCAGAGUUCAGCACUAACGUACUGUCGACCUC